rnacentral:rRNA from 1 species
ACAUUGGGACUGAGAUACGGCCCAGACUCCUACGGGAGGCAGCAGUAGGGAAUUUUGCGCAAUGGACGAAAGUCUGACGCAGCAACUCCGCGUGAGGGAUGAAGGCCUUCGGGUUGUAAACCUCUGUUGAGUGGGAAGAAAAAGCUUUAUACUAAUAUUAUAAAGCCGUGACGGUACCAUUCAAGAAAUCUCCGGCUAACUACGUGCCAGCAGCCGCGGUAAUACGUAGGGAGCUAGCGUUGUUCGGAAUCACUGGGCGUAAAGGGAGCGUAGGCGGAAGAGUAAGUUAGAAGUGAAAUGUAUCGGCUCAACCGGUAACUUGCUUUUAAUACUGCUUUUCUUGAGUAUUGGAGAGGAUGAUGGAAUUCCAGGUGUAGCGGUGGAAUGCGUAGAUAUCUGGAAGAACACCAGUUGCGAAGGCGGUCAUCUGGCCAAAUACUGACGCUGAGGCUCGAAAGCUAGGGGAGCGAACAGGAUUAGAUACCCUGGUAGUCCUAGCCUUAAACGAUGGACACUAGAUGCCGGAAGUGUUAUGCUUUCGGUGUCGAAGCUAACGCAUUAAGUGUCCCGCCUGGGGAGUACGCUCGCAAGGGUGAAACUCAAAGGAAUUGACGGGGGCCCGCACAAGCGGUGGAGCAUGUGCUUUAAUUCGAUGCAACGCGAAGAACCUUACCUGGUCUUGACAUGGGAAUGAAAGCCUUUAGAGAUAAAGGCCCUUCCGCAAGGAACAUUCUACACAGGUGCUGCAUGGUUGUCGUCAGCUCGUGUCGUGAGAUGUUGGGUUAAGUCCCGCAACGAGCGCAACCCUUGUCCUUAGUUGCCAUCAGGUAAUGCUGGGAACUCUAAGGAGACUGCCUGGAUUAACCAGGAGGAAGGUGGGGAUGACGUCAAAUCCUCAUGGCCCUUACGACCAGGGCUAGACGCGUGCUACAAUGGGCGGUACAACGGGAUGCUAACUCGUGAGAGUACGCUAAUCCCUUAAAACCGUUCUCAGUUCGGAUUGGAGUCUGCAAUUCGACUUCAUGAAGGUGGAAUCGCUAGUAAUCGCGGAUCAGCAUGCCGCGGUGAAUACGUUCCCGGGCCUUGUACACACCGCCCGUCAAGCCAUGAAAGAUGGUAGUACCCGAAGCCGUUUCUCUAACCGUAAGGAAGAAAACGUCGAAGGUAAGACUAUUAAUUGGGGCUAAGUCGAAACAAGGUA